rnacentral:rRNA from 1 species
CGCGGCCUAUCAGCUUGUUGGUGAGGUAACGGCUCACCAAGGCAUCGACGGGUAGCUGGUCUGAGAGGACGAUCAGCCACACUGGGACUGAGACACGGCCCAGACUCCUACGGGAGGCAGCAGUAGGGAAUCUUGCGCAAUGGGCGAAAGCCUGACGCAGCAACGCCGCGUGGGGGAAGAAGGCUCUCGGGUCGUAAACCCCUUUCAGCAGGGACGAAAAUGACGGUACCUGCAGAAGAAGGACCGGCCAACUACGUGCCAGCAGCCGCGGUAAUACGUAGGGUCCAAGCGUUGUCCGGAUUUAUUGGGCGUAAAGAGCUCGUAGGCGGUUUGGUAAGUCGGGUGUGAAAACUCAGGGCUCAACCCUGAGACGCCACUCGAUACUGCCAUGACUAGAGUCCGGUAAGGGAGUGUGGAAUUCCUGGUGUAGCGGUGAAAUGCGCAGAUAUCAGGAGGAACACCAACAGCGAAGGCAGCACUCUGGGCCGGUACUGACGCUGAGGAGCGAAAGCAUGGGGAGCAAACAGGAUUAGAUACCCUGGUAGUCCAUGCCGUAAACGUUGGGCACUAGGUGUGGGUCCCAUCCAACGGGAUCCGUGCCGUAGCUAACGCAUUAAGUGCCCCGCCUGGGGAGUACGG